rnacentral:rRNA from 1 species
UGGCGACCGGCGCACGGGUGCGUAACGCGUAUGCAACCUACCCAUAACAGGGGGAUAACACUGAGAAAUUGGUACUAAUACCCCAUAACAUCAGGACCGGCAUCGGUUCUGGUUGAAAACUCCGGUGGUUAUGGAUGGGCAUGCGUUGUAUUAGCUAGUUGGUGGGGUAACGGCUCACCAAGGCGACGAUACAUAGGGGGACUGAGAGGUUAACCCCCCACACUGGUACUGAGACACGGACCAG